rnacentral:rRNA from 1 species
UACGUAGGGGGCAAGCGUUGUCCGGAUUUAUUGGGCGUAAAGAGCGUGUAGGCGGUUUGGUAGGUCCGCUGUGAAAACUCGAGGCUCAACCUCGAGACGCCGGUGGAAACCAUCAGACUAGAGUCCGGAAGAGGAGAGUGGAAUUCCCGGUGUAGCGGUGAAAUGCGCAGAUAUCGGGAAGAACACCCGUGGCGAAGGCGGCUCGCUGGGACGGUACUGACGCUGAGACGCGAAAGCGUGGGGAGCGAACAGG